AACCUAGGAAAUACAGAAACGAUGGCCCCUUGUACUGUUCAUCUUCUUCGCCGAUUCAAACCUUAACUCGCCUAAAACGCAGGCGAGUUCACUCAAAUGGGUCCCUUCUCUCCACGUCACUUUAUUCCAAUGGAUUUCUGUCAGAGAAAAAGAAUAUGCCUUCCGAAUUUGCACGAUAAUUGUACUAUUGAGUGUUUUGCUGGAUGAAUUGGAGUCGUGGAUGGAUGGAAAUCAAUCCAUGCUUUCCAUUUGUCCCUAAAAUCGCUCACAAACAAGGAGAUUUUUCGAAUUUUUGGGCAGAAGCUUCGAGAUUUUUAAGGGUUAUAUAUAAGGUGAGUUUUCUUGUUUAAGGGGUAAGAAAAUAUCAAAGGAAAAAUUUUUAGAAAAAUUAGUGGAGUAAAAACUUUCUAGAGUUCUUGAGUUCCUUUUGUGAGAUUUUUCAGUUUUUUUGUCGUUUUCUUCUGAUUUCUUUUGUUCAGAUUCGAGAUUUUUGUUUUCUUCUGAUUUCUUUUGUUCGAGUUGGUUAAUACAAAAAAAACAAAAAAAAUUGAUACAGAUUCUGAGAGAACAUAUUUUUGAAGAAAGUUUCGGAUAAGAAAAAGAGAAAUUUCGGUUUAUAAUUCUGGGGAUAUCAAAGUUGAUUGAGCUUUAGAGGUGCUGAUUUUGUUGGUUUUGCCGUCAGAAGCUGCUGCUUUCUUCUUGGUUUGCUUGACCUUUAUUUGGUCUUAUUCCUUCUCUUGUUUUGUUUUCAAGGUAAACAUCUACCUCCUCAUGUUGUUUGUUUUAUUGAUGUAUUAAAGGUUGUGAUGAAAUGACAUUGUUUGUUUAUCCAGCAGGAUAUGUUUAAACUCGCUUGAAUGAUCAUUUGAACUUAACAAUGAAAGAUUAAAAAAUGUUCUUGGCUUGUUGUGUCAUUUCGUGCUUCUAAAAUUCACGGCUACACAUACACACACACUCAUUACCUUUAAUCAUUCAUAUGGUUUGCUAAUGUUAUUGUGGAGAUUUACUGAAAGUUGAGACGAAGCCUUAUAAGUUCAAAUUAGAUUUUAAAAUUAAUGAAUCUAGGUGAGGGGUUUAAAUUGUUUUACUUCUCUUAUCAAAAUAUAGCAGAAUGUGUAUUUGUAUAUGUGUGUUUUUAUUGAUGUGCGUGGUUUUAGGUUGGUUAAUCACUUCUUCUCCUUUUCUUUUAGUUCCUUUAUUAGCUAUCUCUCCCAUUCUUCAAAAGCGCUCGUGCAAUUGUUUUAUUGUAUUUCUUUAUUUCUGUCCCAGCUCAUGAUGCAGUUCAAUCUGGUCUUAUAUGAUAGUUCUUCGUUUAUGGAAGUUCCUUUCCUUAUUUAUUUACUAGUAAAGUUAGAAUUUUGAUUACACUAUUAUCUAUUCCAUCUGCAAGGGGACUUUUCUCUUCUUUGUUGUUUACUGCCCAAAUUCUCCCUGUUUCAUAGACGGGAUCUGGAAUAGUGAGUGGAGUUGGAGUCUUUAUGCUAAAAGGUGAUAUCGGUGGAGGAGUAGUUAUGGAAUGAUACAUAUCUUUUCCAAAAGCCACUUCCUCUAGAUGCCACUUUAUGUGAAGAUAUAUAUAUAUUUGUGAGAAGAGCUAGCUGCUUACUUGCCUACUUUGAGAUUAUUUGGAGGAAAUGCAAAGAUUUUAUAUAGAGAGCUAAGGCUUUAUCUGUGGUGUCUCAUGAAAUUUCUGUGCAACUGAUUAGAGAUUCAUGCUUAUUUCUUGUAGGUUGUGUAUGUACGUGUAUUGUUUGUGUGUAUUUCUGAUGUUUGUUUAUUCACUGUCAAUCAUGUAAAAUUUAAUGACUAAUGUUUAGUCCUUAAUUAGCAGAAUGAAUGUGUGAAGGUUAGUCACAUAUGAAUGUAAAGACUGAUCUCUUUUUAUUUAUUAUUCUUUGUCGUUAUGUGUAUAUGUGUGUCAGCGUGUUAGAGAUUCCAAUGUAGUGAGGAC
rnacentral:lncRNA from 1 species